rnacentral:rRNA from 1 species
UCGGACGGACUCAUAUUGAAACCUAGUGAUUUAUGAGUUAGUGGCGGACGGGUGAGUAACGCGUGGAAAACCUGCCGUAUACCGGGGGAUAACACUUAGAAAUAGGUGCUAAUACCGCAUAAGCGCACAGCUUCGCAUGAAGCAGUGUGAAAAACUCCGGUGGUAUACGAUGGUUCCGCGUCUGAUUAGCUAGUUGGCGGGGUAACGGCCCACCAAGGCAGCGAUCAGUAGCCGGCCUGAGAGGGUGAACGGCCACAUUGGGACUGAGACACGGCCCAAACUCCUACGGGAGGCAGCAGUGGGGAAUAUUGCACAAUGGGGGAAACCCUGAUGCAGCGACGCCGCGUGAGUGAAGAAGUAUUUCGGUACGUAAAGCUCUAUCAGCAGGGAAGAAAAUGACGGUACCUGACUAAGAAGUCCCGGCUAACUACGUGCCAGCAGCCGCGGUAAUACGUAGGGGGCAAGCGUUAUCCGGAUUUACUGGGUGUAAAGGGAGCGUAGACGGCAGCGCAAGUCUGGAGUGAAAUGCCGGGGCCCAACCCCGGAACUGCUUUGGAAACUGUGCAGCUUGAGUGCGGGAGAGGUAAGUGGAAUUCCUAGUGUAGCGGUGAAAUGCGUAGAUAUUAGGAGGAACACCAGUGGCGAAGGCGGCUUACUGGACCGUAACUGACGUUGAGGCUCGAAAGCGUGGGGAGCAAACAGGAUUAGAUACCCUGGUAGUCCACGCCGUANACGAUGAUUACUAGGUGUCGGGNGACCAAGGUCCUCCGGUGCCGGCGCAAACGCAUUAAGUAAUCCACCUGGGGAGUACGUUCGCAAGAA